rnacentral:rRNA from 1 species
AGCCUUUCGGGGUGGAUUAGUGGCGAACGGGUGAGUAACACGUGGGCAAUCUGCCCUUCACUCUGGGACAAGCCCUGGAAACGGGGUCUAAUACCGGAUAAUACUUUCUCCUGCAUGGGGGAGGGUUGAAAGCUUCGGCGGUGGAGGAUGAGCCCGCGGCCUAUCAGCUUGUUGGUGGGGUGAUGGCCUACCAAGGCGACGACGGGUAGCCGGCCUGAGAGGGCGACCGGCCACACUGGGACUGAGACACGGCCCAGACUCCUACGGGAGGCAGCAGUGGGGAAUAUUGCACAAUGGGCGGAAGCCUGAUGCAGCGACGCCGCGUGAGGGAUGACGGCCUUCGGGUUGUAAACCUCUUUCAGCAGGGAAGAAGCGUGAGUGACGGUACCUGCAGAAGAAGCGCCGGCUAACUACGUGCCAGCAGCCGCGGUAAUACGUAGGGCGCAAGCGUUGUCCGGAAUUAUUGGGCGUAAAGAGCUCGUAGGCGGCUUGUCGCGUCGGAUGUGAAAGCCCGGGGCUCAACCCCGGGUCUGCAUUCGAUACGGGCAGGCUGGAGUGUGGUAGGGGAGAUCGGAAUUCCUGGUGUAGCGGUGAAAUGCGCAGAUAUCAGGAGGAACACCGGUGGCGAAGGCGGAUCUCUGGGCCAUUACUGACGCUGAGGAGCGAAAGCGUGGGGAGCGAACAGGAUUGGAUACCCUGGUAGUCCACGCCGUAAACGUUGGGAACUAGGUGUUGGCGACAUUCCACGUC